CUCGGCAUCUGGGCCUGCGAGGGGAGUGUUGGGUGCUGCGACAGACCUUGGGAUCCUCAGAGGCUGAGGAGGCCUUCUCUAGCCAAGGCCGGUCGAAACCACCUUGUUUGUGAUAGCCACACGAAUAACGGAGCUUUACAAGAUCCCUUAUACCCAAAAUAGAGGUGGCAGCAUUGGCUAGCAUCUCUGCGCCCCUUCGCCCUGCAUUCCGGCCUCUUCCUUUAGCCUCGGCGCGGCUUGCGUUCCGCGUGUACCAAGGGAAGUGGCGGCCGACCUGAGCGCGCUUUGGCGGGUGGAAGUGGUGACUUUGUUGUCCUGUGUGGACGAAUGUGUAAUAUAAAGUGACCCUCAAGGAAUCUGGAGAGGGCUGCUUUACAGUAUUUGAAGAACACAGGGCUGUGGACCCUAUCGGUUCCCAAAUGAAAGCUCCCCGGGGAGCGUGUUUUUGCCAGUAUGGGGAAGUAGGGCGGAGGCAUAGGAAUGACCGCGAGAGUGGCUGCUUUCAUAGCUCCGCUUGCGAAACUCCUGCCCGGCCUUUGACACCGCCACGGCUUUCAGUAAUCUGGAAAAUCCCUAGUUUCCAAAAAUAGUCUUAGGGCGAGGACUUGACAGAGGUAAUUUGAUUAUGCCUGGGAGUCUCUAUUCAUACAUGGUUACCUACCGCGGGUAGGGUGAGGUCAACCUCGUGUUUUUUGUUUUUUUUCCUGUGAUAUUAGCUAGCAAUUUCCAGCGUUUCCUGAACCUUGAAGUAAAAACAAUGAUACUGAUCUAAACUACUAGAAUCUAGGUUGGAAGGAAAGGAAUGCAUCACGUUUUACUCUUGACGCUCAGAAAGCGAUACCCCAAAGACAGAGGCUUUAGAAGCUGCCUCAUAAUGCAGGUCCCCCAACCUUGACUUGUUGCUCCCACUUUUCCCAAGUGCAGGGAGGUACUCUCUGAAAUUUCCUUUCCUGACUAGAGAAGCCUCUUUGUAGAAGAAUCAAUCGCAUUCCUCCCCUCGCUGAAAUCUCGUAUCCUAUUUCAAAAAGACUCAGAAAUGCAGCCAUUCCUGGAGGGACUUUUUCACAAGAUUACUCAAAAGAAAAUUAUUUACUAAUUUCUGUCCAUUCAUUGUUCCUAAUAAUCAUUUGCUGCUCCUCAAAAUAAAUGUCUACAUUUCUCAUCUACCCUUUCCCCUAUGAAAAAAAGAUAUAAAAUCUUCUGUACUCCAUUAAGCUACUGGGUAAUCAUCCUCCUGCUUUUACCCCGGUGUUAUGUAUCCCUUUUCUCCUGUUAAUCGCCUGUUAUCAGUUGAUUUUUUUUUUCUUUUUUUUUAGAUAGAGUCUCACUCUGUCGCCCAAGCUGAAGUGCAGUGGCGCGAUCUCGGCUCACUGCAGCCUCCGCCUCCGGGGUUCAAGCGAUUCUCCCACCUCAGCCUCCCCAGUAGCUGGGAUUACAGGCACACACCACCACGUCCAGCUAAUUUUUGUAUUUUUGUAGAGACGGGGUUUUGCCAUGUUGGCUAGGCUGGUCUUGAACUCCUGACCUCAGGUGAUCCGCCCGCCUCGGCCUCCCAAAAUGCUGGGAUUACAGGCAUCCAAAGCGCUGGAAUUACAGGCAUGAGCCACCGCACCCGGCCUUAUCAGUUGAUUAAGUGAACCUUCAGUGGGCAAAGUUGUUUUAAAAUGUACUGAUACUUGAGCCUUGCCUGCAGAGGUUGAUGUCACUGAUUUAAGGUGGGCCCAGCCAGUGGUUCAGUUUUGCCUGUCUUCGAGUGAUUGGAAUGUACAGCCAAGAGAGUGUAAUUAUGGUGCUGGCAGAAGUAUUAACCUAUCUGGAUGUCACUGUCUUCACUUUCUGACUAGGCUGCUUCCAGGGAAUCUUUCCACCUCAAUAUUUAUGAGAUAUCUAUAAUUUUAUAACAAACUUUUAAAGGAGCCUCGGUUUCCUUAAACACAAUUGAUGACACCAGUUUUCUGGUUUUCUUCCAUUUUUGUUUAUAGAGCCAGGGUCUCACUGUGUUGCCCAGGCUGGCCUUGAACUCCUGAACUCAAGGGAUCUUCCCACCUCAGCCACCUGAGUAGCUGGGACUAUAAGUGGCACACCACUGUGCCUGGUCAGUUUUCUGGUUUUGAUAAUCUAUGGUUGUGUGAGAUAUUAUCAUUGGGGAAAGUUGGAGGAAUACAUAGGAGUAGUCUAUCUUUGCAACUUCCAUGUCUUAUUUCCAAAUAAAAAGUAAAAACCCUCAUUGAUUAUGUACUUCAUUAAAACACUGGACUUCAAUGAAAUCAUCACCUAUAUUUGUAAUGACUUGAGAGUAAUAUAAUUUAACUUUUUUUUUGACUUCUGAACUUUUUAUUGGCCUCCUGCUCCCCAAAGGGUACCCUGCUUCUGAUGGCUUAAUGUCUCAGAACUUGGGUGUCGUUGGUCUCAGAUACCACUUUGCCAUCCACUAUCCAGCAGAUAGUGGUCUUUUGGAUGGUUUGCAUGGAGUUGCUGCUGUCCAGGGCAUCACCAAGAUUGAAGUCCUUGCCAUCUUCCAGCAGGCGGCGGUAGGUGGCGAUCUCAGCCUCUAGCUUGACCCUGAUGUUCAGCAGGGCCUCGUACUCCUGGGCCUGGCACUGUCCCUCUGCCCAGGCCUGUGCCAGCUCUGACUCCAGGUGCAGCAGGAUCCCGUUGAGCUGCUCCAUCUGCAGGGCGUGGCAGGCCUCCACCUCCCUCAGGCUGUUCUCCAAGCUGGCCUUCAGAUUUCUCAUGGAGUCCAGGUUGAUCUCCAAGGACUGGACUGUAUGUCUCAGCUCCGUGAGCGUUAUAGCAGCUCCAACCUCGACGGACUGCGUGGUGACCCCUGUGUUGCUCUCCUCAAUCUGUUAAGACCAGUACUUGUCCAGCACCUAUUGGUUCUUCAUGCCAGCUCAUCAUAUUGGGCCCGGAUGUCUGCCAUUAUCUUGGUGAGGUCCUGAGAUUUGGGGACAUCUACCUCCACAGUCAACCCAGAGCUGGCAGUCUGGGCUUGUAGGCCUUUUACUUCCUCUUCGUGGUUCUUCUUCAUGAAGAGCAGCUCCUCCUUGAGAGCCUCAAUCUAUCUCCAGCUGCAGCCGAGUGACAUUAGUGUCAUGGAUUUUGUUCCCAUGGAUGUUGUUCUUCAGAGGCUGGCACGUGGCCAGCUCUGUCUCAUACUUGACUCUAAAGUCAUCAGCAGCAAGAUGGGCAUUGUCAGUCUGCAGAACGCAUUGUCCACAAUAUUUGUGAAGAUCUGAGCCCUCAGGUCCUCAAUGGUCUUGAAAUAAUGGCUCCAGUCUCUGACCUGGGGUCCCUGCUUCUCCAGGUGCUCCCGGAUUUUGCUCUCUAGCCUCCGGUUCUCGGUCUCCAGGCUCCUCACUCUGUCCAGGUAGGAGACCAGGUGGUUGUCAGGUUUUGCAUGGUCUCCUCGGUCUGGAUGCCUCCCAUUCCUGCCAGAACCCCGGCCAUCCCCGCAGUCAGGCCCCCGGACCUCAUGCUGCCCCAGAAGCUGGUGGAGCGGGACAUGGAGAUUCGGCAGCCAGAGCUCCCGGCGCCUGCACAGACGCUGGCCAUGCUGCUCACCAGCCAGGAGUCGUAGCUGGGUGCCUGGACAGAGCCCAGGGACCGGUAGUUGGUGUAGAAGGCGGAGUGAGUGGUGAAGCUCAUGCUGUCCAGGGAGGAGGGUGAGAGGACAGAACUCAGGCUUUGCCGACCAAUUUAACUUAUUUUUAAGACAUAUGUUAAUAGAAGAUUUUCUCCUCUUUAGAGUCUUCCACCAUGCCUCUGCAAUAAGCUGGCUUGGUGAUGUCUUGAUAUACUUUAUAUUUUUACCCACUACAUUCAUGGUUAAUCCAGUAAAGGUUCACAAGCAUAGGAGGGAGAAGUCUGGGGGAUGAGGGUGGGAGGAAGGUCCC
rnacentral:lncRNA from 1 species